rnacentral:rRNA from 1 species
UACGUAGGAGGCGAGCGUUGUCCGGAUUUACUGGGCGUAAAGCGCGCGCAGGCGGCACUGUAAGUAAGGUGUGAAAUCUCCCUGCUCAACGGGGAGGGUGCAUUUUAGACUGCAGAGCUAGAGGACGGUAGAGGGGGGUGGAAUUGCUGGUGUAGCGGUGAAAUGCGCAGAUAUCAGGAGGAACACCGGUGGCGAAGGCGGUUCUCUGGGCAUUACCUGACGCUGAGAAGCGAAAGCAUGGGGAGCGAACAGG